rnacentral:rRNA from 1 species
UACGUAGGGGGCAAGCGUUGUCCGGAUUUAUUGGGCGUAAAGAGCGUGUAGGCGGUUCGGUAGGUCCGUUGUGAAAACUCGAGGCUCAACCUCGAGACGCCGAUGGAAACCAUCGAACUAGAGUCCGGAAGAGGAGAGUGGAAUUCCUGGUGUAGCGGUGAAAUGCGCAGAUAUCAGGAAGAACACCCGUGGCGAAGGCGGCUCUCUGGGGCGGUACUGACGCUGAGACGCGAAAGCGUGGGGAGCGAACAGG